GUACCCGCCUACUUGGGAGGUUUCCUCCUUCGUAGCUACGCCCAGUUGCCGGCUGUGGGCACCCGGGGAGGCAUUCUCAUGCUUUGGGAUGGUUCCGUCAUUGACAUCAAUGACACUGUGGUAUUGGAAUUCUGUCUCUCCGCCUCGGUCACCUUGCGUGAGUCUAGCAACACGUUCAAGGUCACCACCAUCUAUGGCCCUUCUACCACCUCGAGAAAAGAUGAUUUCUUUGCUGAAUUGAUCACUCAAAAGCCUGCAUAUGGAUCCAAGUGGCUGGCCCUAGGUGACUUCGAUCAAAUCUACCGGGCACGUGACAAGAAUAGGCGCAAUAUUAAUAGAGGCCGCAACACCCUUAAAUCUUGUGGGCUCAAAGAGAUCCACCUCUAGAACCAUCGCAUCACUUGGAGUAAUGAAAGGAUAAAUCCUACUGUGUGCAAGCUUGACUCUUUUUUCUGUAACACCGAAUGGGACAUCCACUUCACUCACGUUUUGCAUGCCUUGUCUUCGCCUCUCUCCGACCAUUGCCCGCUCUUUCUUGCUAAUGAAUGUGGCCCUAGAAGACUCCAGAGCUUCAAGUUCGAAAAUGUUUGGCCCUCCCUUCCGCGAUUCAAUGAGAAUGUGCAUAACGCUUGGAAUGAGCAUACGGUGCACACCGAGCCUUGCCAAGUAAACUUCCACAAACUCAGGAAGACUAGUGUCCAGCUUUACGAAUGGAGUAGAAGCCUCUUCUCCAAAUCCAAACUCCAACUUCAUCCUGCUCUUAGGAUCAUUCUUGAGCUCGAUGUGGCCCAAGAAUCCCACACCUUAAGCCAGGCCGAGCAUGAUCUCCGGCCUCAGCUCCAGAAAAGAGUGGUGAGUUUGGCGGUCCUUGAGCGUUCAAGAAAGAAACAAUCUACUCACAUUGCAAAUUUGUAG
rnacentral:rRNA from 1 species